GAUUUAACGGAGCUUAUAUAUUACAGGAGUCACUCAGACCGCUCUCUCAUGGAAUCUCACAAAACAGGAAAGUGGUUAUUGAUUUGACUCCUACAUGCAAGUCAGCAAAACAAAUCGGCUGAAUGACCGACUGCUCUCUCUCCCGUCUUGCUGUGAGGAACCCUGAGGGACCUCUCUCAUUAACUCAGCUAAUUUAGUCCCGCUCCCCACCAGAGUGUUACAGAUCUAUGCACAGACAUCAAAACAAAAGUGAGAGGGUCUUCCCCCCUUCCCACUACUAAGAGAAGUGGAAAAUGAAUUGGACCUGCGGAAAAGGCUGUGGUGAGUAAGACGGAAAACCUUGUUAUUGAAGAGUCAGGAAGCAGAAAGGACUUCAGCACACCGAGAAUCAAAUCCAUUUUGUGCAGCUAAUGUUGCUCAUUAAGCAAAUGUAAAACAUAUAUUUUAGUUUAAUGCAUGAUUUAUUCUAAGUUCUGGCCAGAAGAGGUUGUAUUUGUGGAGUUUUCAGUCAGCCAAUGACUCAUUUCAAAUGACUCACCCAGCCUCAACUAAGGCACUGAGGCUGUGAAGAAAUCAGUCUGUGCACAGGAUUAAACAAAAUCACAAAUUCUCUACAAGAAGUGAAAAUAAGGCUGGAGGCUGUUGUUAGAAACUAUAGGGAGAAGUCAUGUAAAAUAUUUGGGACUCAGCAGUUACUUCAAAAGCCAAAGCCCAUCCCAUGCACUGUAAUUACACAGCACUACACACAGUAUAACAGAAAUGACUCAAAUGUCAACAGUACCAGAGAAAUUCAUUUAGCUGAUUUUCUGUCAGUAUCUGUCCAUGAGUUUUACUGUCCUCGUCUAUGAAUUGUUGAAGUUGUUGUUGUUGUUGUUGUUGAAUUGUCUACUGUGAGGAAACCUCCGAGUGGCUUCUCCAAAUGUUCCAGAGGAGUACGUCACGCAGCACUACAGCCCACUGUGUUAAUGGCGAGAGGGGGACAUGGCAGGAUGUCAGCGUGUGACAGGAAGAAUGACCUCACUCCCUUGGAUAUUUGACCGUGAGGAACAGGACUGCCAUUGCAACCUUUGACCAAAAGAUGUCUCCCUCACCUUUCUCAUCUCACUUUUCCAGAAACCAUGUGAAGUAUUCACAGAAUUUACACAGUAUUCAUACGAAUGAAUAUGUGGCAUGUAGUUGCAGUUACAAUUUCUUUUGUCCUCAGAUCCCUGUACAGUUGUUUCCAUGGUGCACUAUUACUUUUUCUUAGUGGUCACAACAAUUCAUAGCAAUGUAGCACAUAGGGCUAUGCUUUUUACAAUUCUUGGUCACUCUUUCUUAAGUUAGUCUGGAAGUUGGUUGAUUUAUGAUUUUAUGGUAAUCUGAUAGAUGAUUUUGGUUUCUGACCUGCUGCCUGUUCAGCUAAAGUGAUUAAGAAAAAGGUAAAAAAAAAAAAAAAAAGAAACACUCUAUGAGUUGACCAGAGAAUUGGAGGCUUUGGGCGUCCACCUUGAUGAGGACAGUAACAAGAAGAAAAAGAAAAGCAAAAGGCAGAUAAAGCGGGCACUCCAAAAGCUUCACAUUAGUGAACUACAGAAGAUACAGUUGGACAAAGCCAAUGGGCCAGUGAGAGCUGAAGAAGCGGAGAGAUGGCCUGUACUGCCCAUGGAGGCAAGAUGAAAAGAAAAUAGAUGAUACUAUAGGUGAUACAUCAAGUAAAAGUUGAUGAAAACGGUGAUGCCAUUGAUGGAAAACACAGUGUCCUUGGACAAAGUGGAGAACACGCUGAGAACAUUCCAUCUGACAGAUGAUGACGCUGCUGAGGUAGAGAACCCCCAAAGGCUGAGGGUGGAGAGAGAGCAGGAGGAGAGGGACAAAGGGCCCUUGGGUGGAGCAAAGGCAGCGGACAUCGCCAUCCAGGGCCAGGAACUUACCCAGUGUAAGACAAAAUAAACAUUGGGGAAGAGUGCUACAUCAUGCAUGUCAUUUAAAAAAAAAACGUAGUAUGGCUAAUGACAAGACGCACCCAGGAUGUUUGGAAGUGGAAAAGGAAAAAGUGCUAAGGCUAAGGCCCACAAACUAUUCUUCAUAUCUUUGCUGUUGUGGAUGUUUGUUUAUUUUUCUUGUCACAGAAACACUUCGAUAAAAGUAAGUCCACUUUGACUUGUACUGUGAAAGUUGUACAAUGAGCAUCAGCCCACUUUAAUACUCUUCUGUCCAAAUUUGUCCCAAUGAGACUGAUGGGUGAUUCUCAUGAAGCUAUAGUUAACAUGUCCGGGUCCUAUUUUCUGAAAACAAUAUUUUAUUAAUAAUAACUAUGAUAUUUUCUACAAAGACAGUAAAGAAUACUAUAGGGACAGAUGUUUUUAUUAUCAUUUUAACAGUAUUUUGAUAGCAAUUUAAACAAAAAGCACAGUAAAUUCUCAUUACCGAAAUGUGUCCGGGUCCAUUAUUCUAUUGUUUGUUUUAUUUCAUGAAAAGUUCUUUUUACAUAAAUUGAAGAAGAUUAUACAAAGUUGUGUAAAAAUGUCUAUAUUUUUGGUUAAUAUUUAUGGUAUUUUACAAAAGGAAAUGUUACAUUUAUUGUAAAAUUAUUGUGUCCACACUAAAUGUUCCUCAUUACCGUAAUGCGACUUGCCUGCCUAUAAAAAGUACACUGUUCCCUUAAAUUAACAAGCAGACCCAUGAUGCAACACUUGGGACAAAAGGUUUAAAAUGGAAUCAAGUUCAGUUGUUCUCUCUUCUCUCACAUCAUGAUAUUUGUGUU